rnacentral:rRNA from 1 species
ACUCUAUUCAGAGGAAUCUGUCCUGUAAUUGAUAAUCCACGAUGAACCUAACUUAAAUUUGUAUUUCAGUUUAUAUACCGUCGUUAUCAGAAUAUUUUAUUAGAAUAAUAAUUUUCUAUAAUUUUAAUAGGAAUAUAUAUCAGAUCAAGGUGUAGCUUAUGUUUAAGUAGAGAUGGAUUACAAUAAUUUUAUUUAAACGGAUCUAAUUUUGAAAUAUUUUUAGUGAAGGUGGAUUUGAUAGUAAAAUUUUAAAGAUUGUGAAUUUGAUUUUAGCUCUAGAAUAUGCACACAUCGCCCGUCGCUCUUAUUAUUAAGGUAAGAUAAGUCGUAACAUAGUAGAUGUACCGGAAGGUGUAUCUAGAAUGA